rnacentral:rRNA from 1 species
UUGAACGCUGGCGGCAUGCCUUACACAUGCAAGUCGAACGGUAACAGGUCUUCGGAUGCUGACGAGUGGCGAACGGGUGAGUAAUACAUCGGAACGUGCCCAGACGUGGGGGAUAACGAGGCGAAAGCUUUGCUAAUACCGCAUACGAUCUAAGGAUGAAAGCAGGGGACCGCAAGGCCUUGCGCGUUUGGAGCGGCCGAUGGCAGAUUAGGUAGUUGGUGGGAUAAAAGCUUACCAAGCCGACGAUCUGUAGCUGGUCUGAGAGGACGACCAGCCACACUGGGACUGAGACACGGCCCAGACUCCUACGGGAGGCAGCAGUGGGGAAUUUUGGACAAUGGGCGAAAGCCUGAUCCAGCAAUGCCGCGUGCAGGAUGAAGGCCUUCGGGUUGUAAACUGCUUUUGUACGGAACGAAAAGGCUCUGGCUAAUACCUGGGGCACAUGACGGUACCGUAAGAAUAAGCACCGGCUAACUACGUG